UAAUCUUAUUGCUUGCUUUCAUGCCAUGCAUAUCUAAAAGAUUGUAAUUUCUAUAUUAUAACUACAUCACUACAGUUUAAAAUGUCUGUAAUAACAACAAAUGCACAAUUGCCAUGAGAAAGACGUAUGACUGCCAAAGAUUAUGUGAGUUAUGCCAAUUGAUAUAUACACAACUUAUAUGCAGAGACUUUUAUUCUCUCAUUCUCCCUCGAUACAAACCACAAACCAUGAAAUAAACAAAAUUCUGUGAACCAAAAUUUCUUCAAUCCUUUUUGGAAUUAUUUUAUGCAUAACUCUUGCAUAUCAAGGAGUAAAUGUCUGCCUAUUCAGCUGAAUUUGGUAUGAUGAAAUAGAAGAAACAGCUCCAUGUUGUUAGGCCUUAUCAUUACUCUAGCCGAUAAGAGAGUUCUAAACGGUAUGUAAGCUAGUACUAGAGAUAUGGAUCAGCUGUAAGGGGCAAGCCAAUUUGGCAAUUGGCACUCGGGAUGGUUUUUCCCCCCUUUUUUCUAUAUAGUAAAGGGAGAAUUUGAAAGAGUUCCUCUAUCUACGUCCAGGGUGGAGGUUUUUUCUCGUCUUCAGUACGAGGUCAAAGUGAUGGCAGAAGAUUUAGAUGAACUCUAUGUGAGUUUGUCUUUAACAAAGAAGGAAAAUGAAGCCGUUUCGGUGGAGACUAGUAGACUGGAAGAAGUGCUAGAAUGAGGGGAGAACUGUUUGAUUAUGAAGAUUUUGGUAAGGAAGCAUUAUAAUCACGAAGCGUUUAAACAGACGAUGAGGAAAGUUUGGAGACUUGUGAAGUUUCGUGAUCUGAAUGCUGAGUUUACGCUGGUUGAGUUUGAAGAUCCAUGAGACAAGGCUAAGGUCCUACGGGAGGGUCCUUGGACUUUUGACAAACACUUGGUGCUCUUGAAGAAGUUCUAUGGUAUGUUGCAGAUUAGUAAGCUUGAACUGGUGCAAGCACCUUUUUGGGUCCGUAAUCCGUAUAUACGAUUUACCUUUGAUGGCUCGUAAUGUGUAUGUUGGGAAUCUGAUAUGUGGUGCUUUGGGGGAGGUGUUUGAAGUUGAUCUGGAUAGGGGUGAGAUGCAGUGGGGGGAGUAUAUGAGAGUUCAAGUGAUUUAGAUAUUUCGAGGCCAUUCUUACGACAAAACGUAUGAAUUUGGGGGAAGGAAAGCCAUGUUGGGUUUGCUUCUUAUAUGUGAGACUACCAAACUUGUGUUUUUAUCGCGGGGUGUUGGGGCAUACUCUGAAGGAAUGCGAUGUUGUUGAUGCUGCCAAGUUGGACCAUGCUAAGCUUCCUUAUGGUCAAUGGUUAAGAGCUGGGUUACAACUACUCAAAGGGGAGGGAAGCGACAUAUUCGUAACUCGGGGAUGUCAAAAACUGUAGAACCAUGGACGACGGCAGGAGCAACGGGGGCUGAAACUCCGACGAGUAGUAAAGUUGGUGGUUCUAAUGUUCCAAUUGUUAUGGAGACAAUUAUGACUAAUCAAUGUGGGGAUGUGGGGGAGCAAGUUCUGGAAACUGACGAGGUAGAGAUAAAUGCGGGAAUGAAAUCUUCUGGGGGAACUUGCUACUUCCACUGAUUUAGGGAUAAUGGCCAAUGUGGAAUCUGAGCAGUUGAAUGAGCAGGGUUAAUGACUUUUCUAAAGGGGAAGAAAGUGGAUGAUGGGGUUACCGAAGUGCCUGUCUUAGAGGAAUCACAUAUGGGCUUGGGUUUGGGUUUCGGCCCAAAUGGUGGCAGUAUGGUUACAAAGUUUCCUAAAACUGGCCCAUUAACUCAAAAUUCCCAGAAGAACCUGUAUUGUGCUCGGGGGCAAUUUUCGGGAGUUAGGGUUGCAAAACUCAAGCUUGGUUCUGACCCGAGAGAGGAAGAAAGCAUUGGCCGAACCCUGAGAAGGGGGAAUUCUUCAAAUCAUGGCAAGAAAAGGAAGGGAAACAUGCUGUUGGAGGAAGACGCAAAAUGUUGUAAGUCAAGUUCUGUUUCUGUUUUAGUAGAACUACUACCAGAGAUAUUGGCGGCGGUUGUUGAACAGCCUUGCUGGACACAAUGAAGCUUUUAAGCUGGAAUCUCCGUGAGCUUGGGAACCCACGAGGUAUUCGUACACUUCGUGAUCUGAUCACGAGAGAAGUUCCCGAUGUUAUUUUUCUGCAAGAAACACGAUUGAAAUCUCAGCAAUUGGAGUUUUGUAAGUUUAAAUUUGGUUUCAUAAUUUUUUUGGUGUUGAUUGUGUGGGUUGUAGUGGUGGUCUUGCGUUGUUGUGGAAAGAUGAAGUUCAUUUGUCGAUUGUUAAUUUCACAAAAAAUCACAUACAUGCUGUUGUUACUAAUAACGAUGGGGGGAAAUGGCUGUUAACAGUAUCAAAGGAAAACUGGGGUUUUCUUUACUUAAAAUGCGGCAGUCUCCUAAUAAGAUAUGUUUUCUAAUAGUUAUCUUGUAUUUAAAUUAAACUUAUACAUAUUUAGAUAGGAUAAAGUCAGUUAGUUAGUGGAGAUUCAAAUUGAAUCUCAAUCUUAUCUUUGUAACCCGAGAACUAUUGUCUAUUUAAUGAUAAGAAAAUACCUCAAGGGGUACCUUCGGCUAAAACUUUGACAUGGUAUCAAGAGCAGGUUCCUAAUUACCGUGCCUCCUCCAAAUUUUUUUUUUUUUCCUUGGAAUUGUAUUCUUGUUCUGGGUAUUCUCGGCACUUCUGUGCCUUCGUGACUAUCGUAGACAGCUUGGGUUCUCUUUAUCGGUGUCCUCUGUGAUGUAUUCAGAGGUUGUUUUUGGCCUCUCGCGUGACUAUCGGCACUGUCUAGGUGGUUUGUGGGGUAGUUCAGCGCCUUCUGUUGGGUGCUCUUAGUCUGUCAACGUUUUCUGUGCUGGGUCAUCCCAUUUUCGGCAAUUGGGUUGCGUUGUUCUGGCACUCGGCUUUUUAGUGACCUUCGAGCUCUAGGUUCAGACCACCAAGGAAUAUUUUGGCACUCUCUAUCUCAUUUUCUGGCUCUCGAGACUCUGUUUGGUGGUGAUUUCCCAGUUCUGGCCAAUUUUGACUCUCGGAAUUUGAUAGGUCUGUCCUCAUGGUAUCUGAAAAAUCUAAUUCCUUGUGCAUUCGUUUCAAUGGUAAAAAUUAUUCUGCUUGAGCAUUUCAUUUUCAACUUCUUGUCAAGGGUAAAGAACUUUGGGGUCAGGGUUGAUGGCAAUAUUCCAGCCCCAGAAAGUGCUACGGAGAGGUCUAAGUGGGAGAGUAAAGAUGCCAAGAUCAUGUCUUGGAUCCUAGGCUCUAUGGAGCCUCACAUCAUUCUCAAUCUUCAACCCUACAGAACCUCCAAGCCUAUGUGGGAGUAUUUGAAAAGAAUCUAUACUUAGAAUAAUUCUUCUAUAAGGUUUCAGCUAGAAUUUGAGAUGGCUAAUUUUUCUCAAGGUGCCUUAUCUAUAGAGGAAUUCUAUUCUGGUUUUUCAAAUCUGUGGAUUGAAUACAUUGACAUUGUGUAUUCCUCUGUCACUGUCGCUGGUCUCCCUCAUGUGCAAAGUGUGCAUGAAACCAGUAGGAGGGAUCAAUUUCUUAUGAAACUACGUCCAGAUUUUGAAUUUGUUCAUUCUCAAUUAAUGAAUAGAGAUCCAGUUCCUUCUCUUGAUGAUUGUUUGGGCGAUUUGCUUCGGGAUUCUCUGAUCUCUUGGAAGUGUAAGAAGCAAGAUUGUGUAUCGAAGUCAUCUAUAGAGGCUGAAUAUAGGGCAAUGUCUGCUGCAUGUUCAGAAAUUAUGUGGUUGCGUGGUAUUCUUUCAGAACUCGGGUUUGCACAAACACAUCCCACGCCUCUUCAUGGUGAUAAUACAAGUGCCAUUCAAAUUGUAGCCAAUCCAGUUUUUCAUGAACAUAUGAAGCACAUCGAGGUUGAUUGUCACUAUAUCCGAGAUGCCCAUGUGUCUAAAGCUAUCAUUCUCCCUCAUGUGCCAACUGAACACCAAGUAGUUGAUAUCUUCAUCAAAGCUUUAACUUGACAACGGCAUCAAUACUUACUUAGCAAAUUGCUGCUAGUUGACUCACUAGCAUCAAUUUGAGGGAUGGUAUCAAAGGAAAACUAGGGUUUUCUUUACUUAAGAUGCAGCAGUCUCCUAAUAGGAUAUGUUUUCUAAUAGUUAUCUUGUAUUUAAAUUAAACUUGUACAUAUUUGGAUAGGAUAAAGUCAGGUAGUUAGUAGAGAUUCAAAUUGAAUCCCAAUCUUAUCUUUGUAACCCAAGAACUAUUGUUUAUUUAAUGAGAAGAAAAUACCUUAAGAGGUACUUCGGCUAAAACUUUGACAAACAGGGGUGUAUGGUCACCCAAAUUGUAGUUUGCAAGCAAUAGUGUGGAGGUUGUUAAAGGCUUUGGGUUGUGGGGUGAAUUUACCAUGGCUGGUUUUUGGGGAUUUCAAUGAAAUCCUACAUCAUUCUGAGAAGUGUGGAGGUAAUUUCAGAAGUGAAAAACAGUUGAGGGAGUUUAGGGAGGUGUUAGCAGAAGGUGAGCUUAGAGAUUUGGGUUUUGUUGGUGCUAGUUUUACUUAGAGUAAUAGGAGGGAAGGGGUUGGACUAAUUAGUGAGAGAUUGAAUAGAUUUCUUGCUAACUCUUUGUGGUGUGAUCUGUAUCCGAAUCUUAGGGUGAAAACAUGGGGUGGUAGCUUAUUCUGACCACAUUUCUUUGUGGUUGGACAUAGAUGGGGUGGUUUUUAUUAGAAAAAAAGGUAGAAAGUCUUUUAGGUUUGAAGCCAUGUGGGUGGGGGAGAAAGAGUGUUCAUCCAUUAUUGAGAAGGCUUGGAGGCAAGUAGAUGGCUCUAAUUCAUUGAGUCGUAUUAUGAAGUGUAUCUCAACCUGUGCUAAGGAUUUGGGAAGGUGGAAUCAGACUUCUUUUGGCCAUGUUCAUAAGGAAUUAGCAAGUACAAAGUUGAGACUGAAUUUGUUGCAAGAGAAUGACCUGAGUUAUUAUUUUCUGGCUGAGCAUAACAAAGCUAAAGAAGAGGUUCAAAAGUGGCUUGAAAAGGAUGAAUUAAUGUGGAUAGAGAGGUCUCGUGUGAUGUGGCUUAGAGAGGGGGAUAGUAAUUUGAAGUAUUUUCAUUCUAAGGCUUCUAGUUGAAGAAGGAAGAAUAGCAUUGUACAGCUGCAAGAUGAAUCUGGAAUUUGGACUAAAGGAGAUCAGAUGGAAGAUUUAAUUACUGAUUCUUUUCAUAAGUUAUUCUCAGCUGCAGGCCAAGUGGAGAUGGAGGAUGUUUAAUCAGGGAUAGAGGCUAAAGUAACUGAUGGGAUGAAUGUGGAGCUUUUAAAACCUUAUACGGCUGAGGAAGUGGAAUUAGCACUCAAACAGAUGCACCCCUCAAAAGCUCUUGAACCAGAUGGGAUGUCUCCAAUUUUCUUCCAAAGGGCUACCUUUUGUGAUCAAAAUUCUGCUGUGGUUGAAGUGAUUCUUAGAGAUCAUAAUGGUGAUGUUGUAGUGGCUUGUAGCAAGGCUGAAAGGGAAAUCUCUUCUGCAGAAUUUAUUGAGGCUACUGCUUUGCUAAGGGGAUUACAGUUAUGUGCUCAAUGGGGAGUUCCAAAAGUGUUGUUAGAAACUGAUUGUUUGAUACUUGUUCAUGCUUUUAAUUAUAUAUCUGAGUUUCUAAUAGACUUUGAUUUUAUUCUACAAGAUAUUCAGAGACUCAUGAGAGGUUUUCAAGAAGCAAAAGUUGUCCAUGUUAAUCGAUUGGGAAAUAUGGCUGCUCACCAAUUGGCAAGACAUGCAUGGGAAUAAGCAUGCGCAAUAAGCAUGGGAAUAAGCACGCGCUUCACGACACUAGUCUUGGUGCAAACUUUGAAGAUUGCGCAAUAAGCAUAACAUAUGAAACAAGUACAGUGGUCCUUUACGUUGACAUACUUUUGUUGUUUCAAAAGGCAUCUCCACCUUCCACAUCCUUAUGAUUUUGCAAUUAUAAUUGGCCCAUGUUCCUUGGAUCAAAGGGUAUUUCCUCAUCAUAUAUAUGUUAAAGGUGGACGGUGAGAUCACGGGUUCAAUAGCUUGGAACCCGUGAAAAAUGGCUUACGUAAAUUCAAACAAAUGGGUGUUAAUGAUUUUUCAGUUUUGCAGGACCUUAAUUGUCAUAUUCUUCCGGUUCGUGAAAAAUUACCAAGAUUAAUAGCUUGGAACCCGCCAGACUUGGGUUUUUUUUAACUCAAUGUUGAUGGUGGUUCUUGUGGCAAUCCAGGGAGAUCCGGCGGUGGGGGCAUCCUUUAGGACUAUAGGGGUAAGGUGAUAGCGGGGUUUGCUCACUCGUAUGGUCAUGCGACAAAUACCAUUGCCGAGUGUCAUGCUCUUCUUGAUGGGCUUCGUUUGUGUCACUCCAUGGGUUUGAGAGAUUUGUGGGUGGAAUCUGAUUCAAGUGUUGUGAUGCGUUGGCUAGCUUCCAGGAUAUGCAAAUAUUGGUUUCUUUGGAAUUUUUGGGAAGAAAUUCAAUCUCUUGUUGGUUUGUUCAAUAUUCGGUUAUGGCAUAUUUUCAGAGAGGCGAACAUUGCAGCAGAUUUUUUGGCAAAACAAGGCAGGAUAGAUAGAUCUUUUGAUUUCAUUGGUGAGGACUUGGUGCAAGGAAGGCUUCGGGGUAUUGUUCGACUAGAUUUAUUGGGUAUUCCAUAUGUUCAUUAUUGAUGCAUUCUUAUGAUGAGAUGUUGUAAAUUCUCUGGUGACAUGUGUUGUUUUUACGGUAUCCCUCCGCCAUAAGUAAGGGCUUUUUAAUAAAAUUGGGAGAGAGUCACUCAUGGACUUGUGACCUUCGUCUCUUAAAAAAAAUAAAAAAAGAUCACAGGUUCAAUCU